AGAGUUUGAUCCUGGCUCAGAUUGAACGCUGGCGGCAGGCCUAACACAUGCAAGUCGAACGGUAGCACAGAGAGCUUGCUCUCGGGUGACGAGUGGCGGACGGGUGAGUAAUGUCUGGGAAACUGCCCGAUGGAGGGGGAUAACUACUGGAAACGGUAGCUAAUACCGCAUAAUGUCGCAAGACCAAAGAGGGGGACCUUCGGGCCUCUUGCCAUCGGAUGUGCCCAGAUGGGAUUAGCUUGUAGGUGAGGUAACGGCUCACCUAGGCGACGAUCCCUAGCUGGUCUGAGAGGAUGACCAGCCACACUGGAACUGAGACACGGUCCAGACUCCUACGGGAGGCAGCAGUGGGGAAUAUUGCACAAUGGGCGCAAGCCUGAUGCAGCCAUGCCGCGUGUAUGAAGAAGGCCUUCGGGUUGUAAAGUACUUUCAGCGGGGAGGAAGGGAGUGAGGUUAAUAACCUCAUUCAUUGACGUUACCCGCAGAAGAAGCACCGGCUAACUCCGUGCCAGCCGCCGCGGUAAUUC
rnacentral:rRNA from 1 species